GUUAGUGGCAGACGGGUGAGUAAUACAUAGGAAUCUACCUAGUAGUACGGAAUAGUCACUGGAAACGGUGAGUAAUACCGCAUACGCCCUGAGGGGGAAAGAUUUAUUCGCUAUUAGAUGAGCCUAUGCUGGAUUAGCUAGUUGGUGGGGUAAAGGCCUACCAAGGCUAUGAUCCAUAGCUGGCCUGAGAGGGUGACCAGCCACACUGGAACUGAGAUACGGUCCAGACUCCUACGGGAGGCAGCAGUGGGGAAUAUUGGGCAAUGGGCGGAAGCCUGACCCAGCCAUGCCGCGUGAGUGAUGAAGGCCUUCGGGUUGUAAAGCUCUUUCAGCGGGGAAGAUGAUGACGGUACCCGCAGAAGAAGUCCUGGCUAACUCCGUGCCAGCAGCCGCGGUAAUACGGAGAGGGCAAGCGUUGUUCGGAAUCAUUGGGCGNUAAAGGGCGCNGUAGGCGGCCUAGUAAGUUGAGGGUGAAAUCCCGGGGCUUAACCUCGGGGCUACUUUCAAUACUGCUUGGCUAGAGUGUAAAGUAGGACAGUGGAAUAUCUAGUGUAGAGGUGAAAUUCGUAGAUAUUAGAGGGAACACCGGCGGCGAAGGCGGCUGUCUGGGUUACUACUGACGCUGAGGCGCGAAAGCGUGGGGAGCAAACAGGAUUAGAUACCCUGGUAGUCCACGCAGUAAACGAUGAGCGCUAAGAGUUGGGUUUUUACUCGGCUCUGUAGCUAACGCGUUAAGCGCUCCGCCUGGGGAGUACGGUCGCAAGACUAAAACUCAAAGGAAUUGACGGGAACCCGCACAAACGGUGGAGCAUGUUGUUUAAUUCGAUGCGACGCGAAAAACCUUACCACCCCUUGACAUGAAGAUUAUACCCCUCCGAGAGGAGGGGGUCAGUUCGGCUGGAUCUUACACAGGUGUUGCAUGGCUGUCGUCAGCUCGUGUCGUGAGAUGUUGGGUUAAGUCCCGCAACGAGCGCAACCCCUAUCCUUAGUUGCCAACAGGUUUGGCUGGGGACUCUAAGGAAACUAUCAGCGAUAAGCUGGAGGAAGGUGGGGACGACGUCAAGUCAUCAUGGCCCUUAUGGGGUGGGCUACAAACGUGCUACAAUGGUCACUACAAUGAGAAGCAAGACCGCGAGGUGGAGCGAAUCUCCAAAAGUGACCUCAGUUCGGAUUGCUCUCUGCAACUCGAGAGCAUGAAGUUGGAAUCGUUAGUAAUCGCGGAUCAGCAUGCCGCGGUGAAUACGUUCUCGGGUUUUGUACACACUGCCCGUCACGCCAUGGGAGUUGGUCACACUUUAAGAUGGUGAGCUAACCCGCAAGGGAGGCAGCC
rnacentral:rRNA from 1 species